ensembl:snoRNA U3 Small nucleolar RNA U3
AAGAUUAUAUUUUCAGGGAUCCUUUCUACUAUUCCUUACUAGAGAAGUUUCUCUGUGUAGAGCACCAGAAAGCCUGAGGAGGACAUGUGGUAUUCCCUCCUGCGCAUGACAUGGCUCUUGGUGUUGCUUUGCUCCAUCUGCCACUUGCCAUUGAUAAUUGUUCUUGCUGUCCUUCAGGGGAGCUACAGAGAGAGGAUGCAGUCUGAGUG